AUUGAACGCUGGCGGCGGGCCUAACACAUGCAAGUCGAGCGAGCGGCGGACGGGAGAGUAAUGGAUGGGGAAUGCCCGAUAGAGGGGGAUAACUACUGGAAACGGUGGCUAAUACCGCAUACUAUCGGAUAACCCAUAUGGGAUUAGCUGGUAGGUGGUGUAAAGGCGCACCUAGGCGACGAUCUCUAGCUGGCCGGAGAGGAUGAUCAGCCACACUGGGACUGAGACACGGCCCAGACUCCUACGGAGGCAGCAGUGGGGAAUAUUGGACAAGGGGCGAAAGCCUGAUGCACCCAUGCCGGGUGUAUGAAGAAGGCUUUAGGUUUGUAAAGUACGUUCAGCGGGGAGGCGUUACUCGCAGAAGAAGCAACGGCUAACUCCGUGCCAGCAGCCGCGGUAAUUC
rnacentral:rRNA from 1 species